rnacentral:rRNA from 1 species
UACAGAGGGGGCAAGCGUUGUUCGGAAUUACUGGGCGUAAAGGGCUCGUAGGCGGCCAACUAAGUCAGACGUGAAAUCCCUCGGCUUAACCGGGGAACUGCAUCUGAUACUGGAUGGCUUGAGUUCGGGAGAGGGAUGCGGAAUUCCGGGUGGAGCGGUGAAAUGCGUAGAGAUCCGGAGGAACACCGACGGCGUAGGCAGCGCCCUGGACGACACCUGACGCUGAGGCACGAAAGCUGGGGGAGCGAACAGG